CCCACGGCCGCAGCCAUCUUGCCCGUGCGUCCGUGGCACGGAACGGCCGUUAGUCCCGGCAGAGGGCUCCGCGAAGACAGUGCCGUCGUUGGGCGCGCGCGCGGGCGGGAGCUGUCGGGGCGGGGCGGCACCGCCGAGCUCCGAGCUUUCCAGAAGCAAAAACAAAAAAAGUUCGGGUACAGCGGCUCACACCUGUAAUCCCAGCUCUUAGGGAGAUGGAAACUGGAGGAUCACUUGAGGCCAGGAGUUCAAGACCAGCCUGGGCAACAUAGCAAGACCCAGUCUCUUAAAAGAAAAUUAAAAAGAAAGAGUAAAUAAAGUUCCAGAAGCUUUGCUCUCCUUAUCCAA
rnacentral:lncRNA from 10 species